rnacentral:rRNA from 1 species
UACAGAGGGGGGCAAGCGUUGUUCGGAAUUACUGGGCGUAAAGGGCGCGUAGGCGGCCUGUUAAGUCGAACGUGAAAUCCCCGGGCUCAACCCGGGAACUGCGUCCGAUACUGGCAGGCUUGAAUCCGGGAGAGGGAUGUGGAAUUCCAGGUGUAGCGGUGAAAUGCGUAGAUAUCUGGAGGAACACCGGUGGCGAAGGCGGCAUCCUGGACCGGUAUUGACGCUGAGGCGCGAAAGCCAGGGGAGCAAACGGGG